ACGUACAUGAGGAGUCGCCUUGCUUGGCUGGGCGCGGUGGGGGCAAAGUAAGGCCGAUGAUAAAGGAGUUGAGUGAAUUCGGACUGAUGUACGUGUUUGGCCACUGUGACCGUGAUUACUGAUCAUUUGAGGGCUGCAAUCAUAAUUAUCUGUGGACGUGAACAUCCAUGCAUCUUCAAGAAAUGCAUGAUGAAGAAGAAGCAGUUCAUCAUACUAAUGAUUUUCCUGUUCUCUCUGCUGGUUGUUCUGCAGAUAAUUCAUUCUGUAUUAUUGCAGUAUUUAGAAGAUUUUGAAAUGAAUAUUUAUGAAGAACCACUUGCAUCUGAUAAUCAGGAUCACAAUGGAUUUGACAUGGAGCCUGGAUCGCUGCUUUCUCACAUGUCAGAAGCUGUCAAAUCCAACUCAUCACCAGAUGACUCUGGGGAAUACCAGAUUGUUGAGAAUGUUUUAUACUCUGCUGAAGGAACUGACAGAGAUGUGACUCUAGCAGUUCAUGCCUCUGUGGAAAGCCUGAGCACUCUUCCAAGAACCAUUCAUCAAUGGGAGGUAUGAACUGGCUGAAUGUGGCAGUCUGUGAUACCUGGAAAUACUUGUCUGUUCUGAUGGAUGGUGUUGCAUGACACUUUGUUGCCCUUUCAGAACUAUGUUGCUUAAUAGAAGUGUUUGUUGAGCUAUGCUGCAUUAUGGUUGCCUUGAUAGUUGGCACAGAGUGUUCUAAUACCACCAGUGCACAACAGUGUACUGCAAAAGUAAUGGUUUACAGUGUAGAUGCGGUAAUGCGGUUGUAAGCAUAGUGAUAUCACAAUGCAUUAAGUAACCACACAAAGCAUUGAACUAAGUGUAUAUGAAAAGCAAAUGAUGGGUUAGGAAAUCAGAUGAGAAAGUUAAAAGCAUUUCUUUUUUGAUACCACAGGCACCCUUGAUCUUAUGGUUAAGGCGUCAGUGUAUCUUCAUUUGAUGGUCUUGUGUUUUUAGAUCUAGUCUGAACGUUUUGAUUGCAUGGAUUUCUUGCAUCAAGGUUCACGUUUGGCAGAGCUCAUUAGGUGAGCACUUCCCACCUACCGACUUUUCGAACUGUCUGUCCGGCCGUGAAAUUCCAGGUUAUUGGCAGAGUUGUGGGGUGAAAG
rnacentral:misc_RNA from 1 species